rnacentral:rRNA from 1 species
UACAGAGGGGGCGAGCGUUGUUCGGAAUUACUGGGCGUAAAGGGCGCGUAGGCGGCCCGCUAAGUCGAACGUGAAAUCCCCAGGCUCAACCUGGGAACUGCGUCCGAUACUGGCAGGCUUGAAUCCGGGAGAGGGAUGUGGAAUUCCAGGUGUAGCGGUGAAAUGCGUAGAUAUCAAGCGGAACACCGGUGGCGAAGGCGGCCUUCUGGACGAUGACUGACGCUGAGACGCGAAAGCGUGGGGAGCAAACAGG